UACGAAGGGGGCUAGCGUUGCUCGGAAUCACUGGGCGUAAAGCGCACGUAGGCGGAUUGUUAAGUCAGGGGUGAAAUCCUGGAGCUCAACUCCAGAACUGCCUUUGAUACUGGCGAUCUUGAGUUCGGGAGAGGUGAGUGGAACUGCGAGCGUAGAGGUGAAAUUCGUAGAUAUUCGCAAGAACACCAGUGGCGAAGGCGGCUCACUGGCCCGAUACUGACGCUGAGGUGCGAAGGCCAGGGGAGCAAACGGG
rnacentral:rRNA from 1 species